AACAUGGGCUGUGAAGACUGGAUUGUAGGCUGUUAAACAUGAAAUCAUAUUCAUCAGUACAGGAUCUAUUAGGGAUAUUGUGAUGUUCCUGACUCCACUCCCAUCAUUACAGAGAGCUGACCACCAUCUCCUACUGCGCUAGUCAGGGAGUCCUGCAGGAUCCAGAGGAGAUUGGGGUGAUAACGCAGACUCCACUCUUCCUAUCAUCCCUGCACAGCCAACCUUCAUCUCAGGAAGAGAUCACGUGUGCACUUUCACAGCUGUGCCUGGAGCCACUGCAUGGUUCAUAGGGAAGUGGGGCAUCAUGUGGGGCUUUCGGUCUUCAACCAUUUCUUCAUUAGUAAAUAUUCUUGCCCAAUGCUACAUGGGUCAUGUCACGUAUUUCCAAUUAAUUCAACAGGGC
rnacentral:lncRNA from 1 species